AGCCGCAACCCUUGUCAUUAGUUGCUACGAAAGGGCACUCUAAUGAGACUGCCGGUGACAAACCGGAGGAAGGUGGGGAUGACGUCAAGUCCUCAUGGCCCUUAUAGGUGGGGCUACACACGUCAUACAAUGGCUGGUACAAAGGGUUGCCAACCCGCGAGGGGGAGCCGAAUCCCAUAAAGCCAAGUCGUAGUCCGGAUCGCAGUCUGCAACUCGACUGCGUGAAGUCGGAAUCGCUAGUAAUCGUGGAUCAGCAUGUCACGGUGAAUACGUUCCCGGGCCUU
rnacentral:rRNA from 1 species